rnacentral:rRNA from 1 species
AUGAUGAGGAACCGGAUGUUGAUCCAUAUGUACAGCAGACAUCAACGGGAACCGCUCCGUCACGCCGUGCUCCAAAAAGGAAGAGACGGGUUUCACCUAUACCAGAAGAAGAAGAGUUCGCUGAGGAGGAGUCAGACGAAGAUGAUGAAAUGGAAGUACCACAAGAUGUUGAAGACGACGGGGAGUCAGAUGAGGAUGAAUCAGAGGAGGAGGACAAAGAAGAAGAGGAUGAGGAGGAGGAGGAGGAGGAGGAUGAUGAUGAGGAGGAGGAGGAGGAGGAAGAGGAGAAGGAGGAGGACAAAGGAAAUGAGGACAAAGGAGAGGAGGAGGGCAAGGAAGAAGAUAGUGAGGCAGAGGAGGAGGAACAAGAAAAUGAAGCCAAAGAAGGAGAUGGAGACAAAGCUGCAGCAAUCGAUGGUAGUAAGGGGGAAGGAGAGGACGGGGAAGAAGACGAGGAUGCCGAUCCUGAUGAUCAAGAGGGAUCCAAUGGAGGCAGUGACAGUUCAGAUGAUGAUGAUGACAAUGCCCCUGGUUCCGAUGGUACAGUUGUUGCUGCCGCAGAUUAGAGGCAGCAUUGACAUGUUCAAGUUGUGCAACAUGAAGCCAGCUUUGCCAACCACCUUCCCUGUGCCAGAUUUCCACGAGCGAGAGUCGUGUGACAAGAUUGUUUUUGCUGUUGACCACAACCUGUUCUUCUUUAGUGAGGCUGAAAAGAAUCCAGUUGACAUGGAGGAAGCAGGGAAGGGUCUUGAUUGGGUUCAUUCGAAGGAGAAAUACAAGGAAUAUUUGAAGCAGCUUCCAGAUAUCAGCUCCAGCAAGAGCAAGGCAGCAUCUGUGGCAAACCCUCAUGUGGUCCAGAAGAGCAAAGGAGUUACAAUGAAGAAGAAUCUGAAGUUGCCUCAAACCAAGCAACAGAUGCCGAGGGCAGAUGCAGAAAUAAAUGUGGACAAGGAAGCUGUGGCGCAAACUGUUGUGCCAACUGUAGUGAUCAGAGAAUUCCUCUGUCAACAGCCCCACCUAAACCAGCUAAGCAGCAAAAGAUUGUCAAGUUUGCCAAGUGCACAAAGGAGGAACAUGGAAGGUGUGGGGUCCAGACACGAGACAGAACAACGUGCCACAGCCAACUCUGCAGGACUGCCAAGUUCUGCUAGUUUGGUGCCAACUCAGACUUCAAAGGUGCCAACUGCAGAUACCAGUGUGCCAACUGAAGUGGUCACAGUCAAAACUAGCAGAGUUGUUCAGGAAGACUCAACUGCAACCGCAAGCCCCAAGGUGACAAUUCAUACAGAUUCUUCAAUGCCAAACACGGAAGGAGGUUGUCAAUCUGUCAAACUGCCGUCUCCAAGAGCUACCACAGAGCAUCCAAGCAAGUCUGCAUCACCAAGAGCUGAUUUUCAGAACAGAUUAACACAAGAGGAGGUGUUCAACAUUGUAAGCAGGUGCAAGCCUCCCAGUCCGCCAACUACAACAUUACUGCGAACCAGGAGUUAG